GAUGAACGCUGGCGGCGUGCUUAACACAUGCAAGUCGAACGGAAAGGCUCCUGCUUGCAGGGGUACUCGAGUGGCGAACGGGUGAGUAACACGUGGGUGAUCUGCCCUGCACUUCGGGAUAAGCCUGGGAAACUGGGUCUAAUACCGGAUAGGACGAUGGUUUGGAUGCCAUUGUGGAAAGUUUUUCGGUGUGGGAUGAGCUCGCGGCCUAUCAGCUUGUUGGUGGGGUAAUGGCCUACCAAGGCGUCGACGGGUAGCCGGCCUGAGAGGGUGUACGGCCACAUUGGGACUGAGAUACGGCCCAGACUCCUACGGGAGGCAACAGUGGGGAAUAUUGCACAAUGGGCGCAAGCCUGAUGCAGCGACGCCGCGUGGGGGAUGACGGCCUUCGGGUUGUAAACUCCUUUCGCUAGGGACGAAGCGCAAGUGACGGUACCUGGAGAAGAAGCACCGGCUAACUACGU
rnacentral:rRNA from 1 species